GGGGCCACUUAGGGAUCUGGGGCAAAAAUUGGUCCUGCUAGUGAAGGCAGGGGGCUGGACUUGAUGACCUUUCAAGGUCCCUUCCAGUUCUAGGAGAUUGGUAUAUCUCCAAUUAUUACCUCUCAAUGGUCUGGAUUACACCUUGAAAUGUGACAAUUCAAUCACUGUUAUACAAGCAAAAAUACCAGACAUGCUGAGAGAACAUUACUGGACCUGAUUCUCCACUGCCUUGAACCUUCUCAUUUACAUCUUUCUCAUCUGGUUCCUGGCCUCAACAGGAAGCAAGAAGCAACAACCCACAGUGAAAUUUUCCGGUGGAUGCACAUUGAUUGGACAUUUUUUUCCAAGAGAACACCUCCCAUCCAUCACCUAAUUUAUCUUCUUUAAAUCACAAAUGUGGAAGGAAUGAAAAUAGUAUGGUGAUGGGAAUCUACAAAAACAGGAGAAAUAUUAGAAAGACAGAAAAGUUCAUAGCCCCUCAAAGCACAUUACUUAUAUAUUUUAUUUCUCAGAGUGGAAUCUAAUUAUUCCUUGAAUGAUACUGGCAUUUCUAACUCAACAUGUGCUAGGCACUUCUGCACAUUUAUUGUUCUUCAGGUGAAAAAGUACUUCUUAAAGUCUAUUCUGAAUUUAUUUCUUUCAUUCCCACUUUGGCACACCAAUCUUGUCAUCUGAAAUCAGCUAGAAAUAGUUACUUGGACUGCUAUUAUCCACUCCAUUUAACACUGUUGGUAUUUGAAUAUGGCUCAGCUUUUUUAACCCAUAUUCUCUUUUUAAGAGUACACAGGGUUCAUUCUUUACAAUCUUUGCCAUUUGUAAUGAAUUAAUUAAUGUUACUGUGGUAUUCCUAUUUUACCAAUAGAGAAUACCGUGACUACUAUAUACUCUGCAAGAGGUAAAAGCUGUAGUGAUUUUGUGGCAAACACUGUAUAUAUAGUUAAUUGUAGAAAUGAUUAACAGCUUACCAGGAAUUCAAGGCACCCCUAAUAAAAAGGGACAGUGAAAAAGUUUUUGUUAGUGUGUUGGAAGAUUUUCCCCUCCAUUAUGGCUCGUGGUAUACUAAUCAUGAAUAUCAGACUCCCAAUAUAAAUCACUUUGAAGAUAAAAGCUGUACUUCUAAAUACUAAAGAAGAGAAGUAUUUUACGCAAGGCUUCUCCUCUUUUUUCUUUUUGUGGUUAGCAGGUCUCCAAUAUUAUGUGGCUCUCAAGGACAAAAUGAUUGAGCAAAUGGGCUGCUGCCUGUAAAGAUUAAGAGAAAGAAAGUGGAAAGGCAAAGUCACAGGAGAUCUGAAGGAGGAUUAAAAGGAGUUGAAGCUCAAUUGCUCCCACUGAUCUUCCUUUCCCAAUGAAAAAUAAUUAGGUUGUGAAGAGAAGAUGAGCUAUUCAUGGAAGAAGAGUAGGGAUAGUUUGGUCAAUGCCAGUGGCUUAUUAAGACUUGUAAGCAGUUCAUGGAAGAUGAAAUGUCAGCUGUAGCCAUCAAAAAGAAGAAUGAAUAGAGUAUAUGAUAACUCAUUUGGACUGGAUCAAUCCAGGAUUAAUUGGAAAGGUUUAUAACUACU